rnacentral:lncRNA from 1 species
AUUAAAUCAUGAUGUGCAUGUGUGGUGGAGUAAAUGAUAGUAAUGGUAAAAAUGUAUUAGUGAUGAUAAAACUUACUUCUCAUUGCUCCUCAUAUUGCUAUCUCUCCUCCUCUCUUGAUCUUUGCUUUGGGAGAACAUGGGCUAUCUUUUCUUCUCUCUUUCUUUUUUUUUCAGGUGGGUAGUAAAUACCCCUAAUUCUACUAUCGGACACUUGUCCAUUUAUUCCGCUCAGGUGGGCAUCUUGGUACCCCUAAUUCUACUCCGGAUACUUGUCCAUUUUUACCUCUCGUCUCACUCUUUUUCUUUCUUUUCGAGGUUCCGGGCACUUGCCCCUUUUUAUUUCCUCGUAUAUUUUUGCAUAACCCAUGCCUCUUCUAAAUUGAAUGUUUUUGGGGAGAGAGAAUAACAACACUUGGGACAGUGAGUGAUAACAAUAUUUUUAGCAGUUUUUGAAUGAAUGGUGAUGGAUGGUGUAGUAGAUGUGUGCAAGUGAGUAUCUUGAUUUAAUCACAUGAAAGCUCCUAAGGGUCUACACAGCUCAAUCAAACUCAAUGUGAAUAUAAGUAGCAAAAGAUAUGGAAAUUAUAGCAAGUAUGGCUGUGGUAGGAAUUUUGUCAUGCUAGGAACUCAUCAUGUGAUUUGCAAGUUUUCAAAAAUGAAUCUCUAGAACUUAGUGUAGUAAGAACAAGAUAAACAAUAGCUCAAACUUUAUAUCAUGUCUAU